GCCAGGUAUGGUGGCACACACCUGUAAUCCCAGGAGCUUAGGAGGCUGAGACAGGAGUAUUGUGAGUUCAAAAGACACAGCAAAAGUGAGGCACUAAGAAACUCAGUGCAAAACUCAGUGCAACUGAGUGAGACCCUGUCUCUA
rnacentral:sRNA from 1 species